CUGGCUCAGGAUGAACGCUAGCGAUAGGCUUAACACAUGCAAGUCGAGGGGCAGCACGGUGUAGCAAUACACUGGUGGCGACCGGCGUACGGGUGCGUAACACGUAUGCAACCUACCCGCGUAUUGGGGGAUAACCCGGCGAAAGUCGGACUAAUACCCCAUAUUAUUCUUACCGGGCAUCCGGUAGGUCUGAAAGAUUUAUCGAUUGCGGAUGGGCAUGCGGAUGAUUAGCUAGUAGGUGGGGUAACGGCUCACCUAGGCGACGAUCAUUAGGGGUUCUGAGAGGAAGGUCCCCCCACACUGGAACUGAGACACGGUCCAGACUCCUACGGGAGGCAGCAGUGAGGAAUAUUGGUCAAUGGGCGCUAGCCUGAACCAGCCAAGUCGCGCGAAGGAUGAACCAGAUCUAUGGUUUGUAAACUUCUUUUGCAGGGGAGUAAAGUGCGACACGUGUGUUGUAUUGCAAGUACCCUGCGAAUAAGCAUCGGCUAACUCCGUGCCAGCCGCCGC
rnacentral:rRNA from 1 species